CAGCAGCCGCGGUAAUACGAAGGGGGCUAGCGUUGCUCGGAAUUACUGGGCGUAAAGGGCGCGUAGGCGGAUGUUUAAGUCAGAGGUGAAAGCCCAGGGCUCAACCUUGGAACUGCCUUUGAUACUGGACAUCUUGAGUAUGGGAGAGGUGAGUGGAACUCCGAGUGUAGAGGUGAAAUUCGUAGAUAUUCGGAAGAACACCAGUGGCGAAGGCGACUCACUGGCCCAUUACUGACGCUGAGGCGCGAAAGCGUGGGGAGCAAACAGGAUUAGAUACCCCCGUAGUCCCUGUCUCUUAUAC
rnacentral:rRNA from 1 species